GACGAACGCUGGCGGCGUGCCUAAUACAUGCAAGUAGAACGCUGAAGAGAGGAGCUUGCUCUUCUUGGAUGAGUUGCGAACGGGUGAGUAACGCGUAGGUAACCUGCCUUGUAGCGGGGGAUAACUAUUGGAAACGAUAGCUAAUACCGCAUAACAAUGGAUGACACAUGUCAUUUAUUUGAAAGGGGCAAUUGCUCCACUACAAGAUGGACCUGCGUUGUAUUAGCUAGUAGGUGAGGUAAUGGCUCACCUAGGCGACGAUACAUAGCCGACCUGAGAGGGUGAUCGGCCACACUGGGACUGAGACACGGCCCAGACUCCUACGGGAGGCAGCAGUAGGGAAUCUUCGGCAAUGGGGGCAUCCCUGACCGAGCAACGCCGCGUGAGUGAAGAAGGUUUUCGGAUCGUAAAGCUCUGUUGUAAGUCAAGAACGGGUGUGAGAGUGGAAAGUUCACACUGUGACGGUAGCUUACCAGAAAGGGACGGCUAACUACGUG
rnacentral:rRNA from 1 species